rnacentral:sRNA from 1 species
GGUAAUUUAGUAUAAUAUAACAGAGCAAGUUGGAUAGAUGGUGGCCAAUCUUAGUAUAAAGUGAGGUGAUGCUUAUGAAAGUAUCAACAAAAUCUUUAGAAAGGAGUAGGCUAUAGUGGUUCCGAUUAGCGAAGCGCUAAACUUAAUGUUUAGUUUCGGUAGUUUUAUCGUACUAUUAUUGGGUUUAGU